GAUGAACGCUGGCGGCGUGCCUAAUACAUGCAAGUCGAACGGAGAUUCUGUCGUAAUUCGUUACAGCGGAAAUCUCAGUGGCGAACGGGUGAGUAACGCGUUGGUGACCUGCCCCGGAGAGGGGGAUAACAGCUUGAAAGGGCUGCUAAUACCCCAUGAUGUCUAAAGGGUUAGGAACCUCUAGACGAAAGGCUUCGGUUGCUUCGGGAGGGGCCUGCGUCCCAUCAGCUAGUUGGUAGGGUAAUGGCCUACCAAGGCGAAGACGGGUAGGGGACCUGAGAGGGUGACCCCCCACAAUGGAACUGAAACACGGUCCAUACACCUACGGGUGGCAGCAGUAGGGAAUAUUGCACAAUGGGCGAAAGCCUGAUGCAGCAACGCCGCGUGCGCGAAGAAGGCCUUCGGGUUGUAAAGCGCUUUUCGGGGAGAAGAGAAAGGAC
rnacentral:rRNA from 1 species